rnacentral:lncRNA from 1 species
GCUGCUUGGCGGCACUCAUCUUCUCCCUCUAGGAACAUGCCCUGCCGCAAGAACGCUUAGACUCUCUGGUCUCUUCCAGACAUACUUUUGUGUCCCUGGAAUCCAGGAAACUCUGGCUACCUGCAGUGUGGAGAAGCAGCUGGCCGGGCCAGGACCCGGGGCCCCUCCCUGGAGGGAGCAAAUGCCUCUCCGGCUGCAGCUGCGGAAAGAGGGAGGAGACUCGGGGGACAGGAUGGUGAGCUGUGGAGGCAGUGGUUUGGAUUUUAACUCGGCACUACUGGGAGCCAUGGAGUUGGAGCACAGUUAGCUGUUCUUGAACGUCUUCAAAC